CGUAGGAGCAAGCGUUGUCCGGAUUUACUGGGUGUAAAGGGUGCGUAGGCGGCUUUGCAAGUCAGAUGUGAAAUCUAUGGGCUCAACCCAUAAACUGCAUUUGAAACUGUAGGGCUUGAGUGAAGUAGAGGCAGGCGGAAUUCCCCGUGUAGCGGUGAAAUGCGUAGAGAUGGGGGAGGAACACCAGUGGCGAAGGCGGCCUGCUGGGCUUAACUGACGCUGAGGCACGAAAGCGUGGGGUAGCAAACAGGAUU
rnacentral:rRNA from 1 species